GCUGGAGAUCCCUACCUGCUUGAGGCCUUCUAUAGACCUGUAAACUCUGUGUCGUGGAGAGAAAGGGCAGGGAAAACAUUAAGAAGGAUGAAAAGAAACGUCUUGCUCUCCUAAAAUGACUUCAUCCUGACCAGAGAUACUGUAACAAACACCAACAGAACAUCAAAGGUGACUAAAGGAAAAAGAUCAAACAGGAAUUAGGCAACGCAGGGAGAAAUUAGAGGACAGCAAAACUACCCUGAGGGAGAGAACAGGACUGAGCUAGCCCACCCUGGCUGAACACUCCCGAUGGCUUUGAUCAGCAGGAGAAGAGUACAUGAGGUCUGUUGAUAACCCAAAUGCACACCACCCUCUAGUCUCUUAGUGAAGCCUGGUAUCCAACCUGAAAUUCUGAAGAACUGUGUCUUUCUGGUUUAUUUUUAAAUACAAUAAUCUGUUAGAAAAACUUUAAAAGUUCACUUGAAUGUCCUGUUAAACUAUCACCUGACUCCCUUUUUUCUGAGAUUCGUCUCUUUAACUGUUACUUUGAUCAAACUAUUUUAAGUUGGUUUUGCUCCAGAAGGACUGUUGCAUUUCACUGAAAACUGAAGCCAUGGUGAAGGCCGUUCCUGACUCAGAAUGUGUCAUACUGGUGAACUGCUAAUGACUUGCCCUCUUUUAGGUAACAGUGAGAGCUGGGCCAUUAGUCACCUAAGGCAAGACCACAGAAAUGUUGGCUGGAAGGAAUUGCUGAAGGUCUCCUGGCCAGCCUCCUGCUCACACCAGGACCAUUGCCAGCAUUACCUCAGACCAGACACAGCUUUGUCUAGUCAGAUCUUGAGAACAUCUCAGAAUAGGAUUUCCCAGCAUUUUGGUAACCUGCCACCCUGAUGAGAACUGUUUUUCCCCAGUGUCCAACCUAAACAUUUCAAGUGGCCAUUCACAACCAUUGCAUCUUGCUAUGUAUACCAUCUUCUACUGCAAGGAAUAUUUCAGCUUUAUCAUUUUUUGUGUAGCUUCUCUUCUAAAUGUCAUAAGCUGCCGUCAGCUUAUGCCAUUGCCCCUACUUCACCAGAUGAAACAAGUCCAGAUCCCUCAGCUCACAGGUCAUGCACUAAAGGCCCUUGGGCACCUAAGCAGUCCUCUGCUGGGCUCCUUCCAGUUUCUCAAAAUUCCACUUGUUCUGGAGAGUGCAGGAAGGGGUGUGUCCUUCCAGGUGGAGCCUCACGUGCACCAAGUGAAGGCUGUGAGCCUUUACAGGAUGCUCUGGCUUUCCUCACAGCAGCUCUCUCUGAAGGGACCAGCUCUGCUCUCCCCACACUGGCCUUGCAUGCCAGCAGUUCUGUGCCCUCCAGGAGAGAUGUGCUCUGAACCAUGGCAACAUAUAUCUGGGAAAUGGGCACAGCCCUAGCUGCAUUGUCUGUCUUCAGAGAGGGCACUGGUUUUAUUUGUGGCUCCAAAACAUGUGGUCUGGUGGUUCUGAUCUUGGCUGAAGCCUCCAGGCACUGCGUUAGUACAGAUAAUAGCCUGGAAUCCCUUCCAGGUAAGGUAUUUCCUCUGUGCAGGCAAGGGAUUAAACUAAUAACACCCAAUUUCCCCUUUUGCUGAUGUUAAGGAAAACUGCUGUUUGGGAACCAGCAGCUCAUUGGUAUGAGUGUGUUUUUCUUCAGUAAAGUUUAUUCAGGGGAGUUUUCUUGUUCUCCUGUAGGAAAACUCUUCCUGUAAGUAUGUUGGCUAGCUAUUGAGCAAGGACCUGUGGUUUCUGAAGUUUUAAGCAACUUGUCAAAGCAGAUCCUAAUAUUAUUUUUCAUUUUUACUUAAUAUUAUUUUUCUAGCAUAUCAUUUAAAAAGCCAGGAGGAUAAAAAGUGUGUUAUUCUUAGGAGGAUAGUAGAUACCAUUAUCUGCCUUUCAAAUCGGAUGCUCCAAUACAAAUUGAUAGGAAUUUUGCUCCCAAUACAUUAUCUGUGAUAGUUGGCGUAGGAUCCAAAAAAGGAGAAUAAUCUAACUACUAACUAGGAGAUCCAUACUGCACGGUUAUUCGAAAACCGCUUUUUGGGAAUUUCUCUAAAUAUCAGCUACGAUUCAUAGCCACCCUAAUAAAUGCUGUAUUUGGAAGCAAAGAUAUGCUAAAAAGAUGUCCAAAACCUAGAAAUACCUGCUGGUUUCAGAAACAGUAAGCAUCCUUCCUUGGACACAUAUACUAGCAGCAGGCAGCCCGGUUGAAGUGGAGAUUUGGAAGUACUUUGGAAAAGAACCAGUGCUUUUUUUUUUUUUUUCCUAGUACAUAUAGAACCUGUCUAAGGAAUUUCUCAUUAUAAAGAAGAUAACGAUGUGUGUUCUGGUGAGCUAUAAGAAUGAGGGGAUUAAAUAUAUCCUAGCGCGUUGCAGAGAGAAUAGUAUGCUGGGAAGAAACCUUUUUCAAAAUGUAACCAGGCAAGGUCUAAUUUUCCCUGGAGGUUAAUAUUAUUUUGAGGAAAGAAGAGUGGCAUCUUUAAAAGAUAUUGAUAGCAUCACUCCCAACAGAGAGGAAGGAUAUG